UGAGCAAUUUGCAGUGAAGAGUUCGACUGUUGGCUCAGAUUGAACGCUGGCGGGAUGCUUUACACAUGCAAGUCGAACGCAGCAGCACGGACUUCGGUCUGGUGGAAGAGAAGGAACGGUGAGUAAUGUAUCGGAACGUGCCUAGUAGCGGGGAUAAAUUCAUGGCGGAAAGGUAGCUAAUACUGCAUACGUCUUCUCGGGGAAAGCGGGGACCUUCGGCCUGUGCACUAUUAGAGUAGCAGAUAAUGGAUUAGCUAGUUGGUGGGCAACGGCUCACUAUAAGGAUGAUCUGGUAGCUGGUUUGAGAGGGAUGACCAGCCACACUGACCGGGAGACAUCGGCCCAGACUCCCAUGGGAGGUAGUAGGGGAAUUUUGACAAUGGGGGAAACCCCGAUCCAGCCGUCCGGUGUGUGCGAUGAAGGCCUUCGGGUUGUAAAGCACUUUUGCAGGAAAGAAACGGCAUUGGAUAAUACCCCGCAACUGAUUUGUACUCGCAGAAUAAGCACCGGCUAACUACGUGCCAGCAGCUUGCAAUACGUAGGGUGCAAGUUAAUCGAAUUACUGGGCGUAAAGGUGUAGUGUUAGUUCGAAAGAAAGAUGUGAAACUUGUUUUUAACUUUGAACCGCAUUUUUAACUACCGAGCUAGAGGGUUAGAGGGAGGUGAAAUUCUGCGUGUAGUAUGAAAUGCGUAGAUAUGGAGGAAAUAUCAGAUGGCGAAGGCAGCUUCAGAUAACACUGACGCUCAUGCACGAAAGCGUGGAUAACAGGAUUAUUAAUUCUGUAGUCCACGCCCCAAACGAUGACCAGCUGUUGGGGCCUUUCGGCCUGGCAGCGCAGUGCUAACGCGUGAAGUUGACUGCCUGGGGGAGUACGGUCGCAAGAUUAAAACCUGUGAAUUGACGACCCGCACAAGCGGUGGAUGAUGAUUAUCGGAUGCAACGCGAAAACCUUACCUACCCUUGACAUGUUCGAAUCCUGAAGAGAUUUGGGAGUGCUCGCAAGAGAACCGGAACACAGGUGCUGCAUGGCUGUCGUCAGCUCGUGUCAGAGAUGUUGGGUUAAGUCCCGCAACGAGCGUAACUCAUUAGUUGCUACGAAAGGUACCCCACGACCGCCGGUGACAAACCGGAGGAAGGUGGGGAUGACGUCAAGUCCUCAUGGCCCUUGCGGCAGGGCUUUCACACGUGUCAUACAAUGGGAGCCGGGACAGAGGGUCGCCGACCCGCGAGGGGGGAGCCAAUCCCAGAAACCCGAUCGUAGUCCGGAUCGCAGUCUGCAACUCGACUGCGUGAAGUCGGAAUCGCUAGUAAUCGCGGAUCGGGCAUGUCGCGGUGAAUACGUUCCCGGGUCUUGUACACACCGCCCGUCACACCAUGGGAGUGGGUUUUACCAGAAGUAGUUAGCCUAACCGUAUGAGGGCGAUUACCACGGUAGGAUUCAUGACCGGGGUGAAGUCGUAAUGCUGCAG
rnacentral:rRNA from 1 species